UGGGGAAUAUUGCGCAAUGGGGGAAACCCUGACGCAGCAACGCCGCGUGAAGGAUGAAGGCUUUCGGGUUGUAAACUUCUUUGAUGGGGGACGAAGGAAGUGACGGUACCCCAAAAACAAGCCACGGCUAACUACGUG
rnacentral:rRNA from 1 species